UACGAAGGGUGCAAGCGUUAAUCGGAAUCACUGGGCGUAAAGGGCGCGUAGGCGGCUUCUCAAGCGUGUGGUGAAAGUCCGGGGCUCAACCCCGGAUCGGCCGUGCGGACUGGGGAGCUCGAGUUCUGUAGAGGCGGGUGGAAUUCCGGGUGUAGCGGUGGAAUGCGUAGAGAUCCGGAAGAACACCGGUGGCGAAGGCGGCCCGCUGGGCAGAGACUGACGCUGAGGCGCGACAGCGUGGGGAGCAAACAGG
rnacentral:rRNA from 1 species